GUUAACGUCAAAGCUAAUGGGUAUUGGCCAUUAGCUCAAUCUUCACUAUUGAAAGUGCUUUACAACCCGCAGGCCUUCUUCACACACGCGGUAUUGCUGGAUCAGGGUUGCCCCCAUUGUCCAAUAUUCCCCA
rnacentral:rRNA from 1 species